UUGGCGGACGGGUGAGUAACGCGUGGGUAACCUGCCUUACACAGGGGGAUAACACUUAGAAAUAGGUGCUAAAACCGCAUAAGCGCACAGCUUCGCAUGAAGCGGUGUGAAAAACUCCGGUGGUGUAAGAUGGACCCGCGUCUGAUUAGCUUGUUGGCGGGGUAACGGCCCACCAAGGCGACGAUCAGUAGCCGGCCUGAGAGGGCGGACGGCCACAUUGGCACUGAGACACGGCCCAGACUCCUACGGGAGGCAGCAG
rnacentral:rRNA from 1 species